CAGACUGCUGCGGAUUGUGGCUGAGUUGUUAGGGGGAAGCCCUGACGAAAAUCCCGGACAGCCGUGUAACAUUUGUGUUUUCUGUCGACCAGGAAGGCUCAUCGGAAACGGACCGCAACAGACAUCAGGCCGCUGGCUCAUCCAACCCGGCUGAAAGACAAACACCGGCUCAACGGGGGAGCUGCGCUGGGACUUCCUCUACUUUUGAAACCCAACGACUGAGAAACUGCAGUUCAAAGUGACUCUGAUGAGUUUGAGCUCAAUCGUUUUCUGUGACAUCAGUGUUUGCAGUAUACACACACACACGUAUUCAGCCAACUCUUUAAACGGCACAAAGUGACGUCAACGGCUACAAAGCUGCUUGUGCCGCCACGGCAACUCAUAUCUGAGUCACGGAGGCUUUGUGGCGCGUCUGUCAUGCCUCUGAGGUCAGAGCGAGUCAAGAAGAUACACUCAGCGACAGAUAAGAAAAGCGGUUUCUUCCUCACAGUUUCUGUACUCACCAG